UACGGGGGGGGGCAAGCGUUGUUCGGAAUUACUGGGCGUAAAGGGCUCGUAGGCGGCCAACUAAGUCAGACGUGAAAUCCCUCGGCUUAACCGGGGAACUGCGUCUGAUACUGGAUGGCUUGAGUUCGGGAGAGGGAUGCGGAAUUCCAGGUGUAGCGGUGAAAUGCGUAGAUAUCUGGAGGAACACCGGUGGCGAAGGCGGCAUCCUGGACCGACACUGACGCUGAGGAGACGCAAAGGCCAGG
rnacentral:rRNA from 1 species